rnacentral:rRNA from 1 species
CCUACGGUGGGCAGCAGUGAGGAAUAUUGGUCAAUGGGCGCGAGCCUGAACCAGCCAAGUAGCGUUAAGGAUGACUGCCCUACGUGUUGUAAACUUCUUUUAUACAGGAAUAAAGUGAGGCACGUGUGCCUUUUUUUAUGUACUUUAUGAAUAAGGAUCGGCUAACUCCGUGCCAGCAGCCGCGGUAAUACGGAGGAUCCGAGCGUUAUCCGGAUUUAUUGGGUUUAAAGGGAGCGUAGAUGGGUUGUUAAGUCAGUUGUGAAAGUUUGCGGCUCAACCGUAAAAUUGCAAGUGAUACUGGCAGUCGUGAGUACAGUUGAGGUAGGCGGAAUUCGUGGUGUAGCGGUGAAAUGCUUAGAUAUCACGAAGAACUCCGAUUGCGAAGGCAGCUUACUAAACUGCCACUGACAUUGAUGCUCGAAAGUGUGGGUAUCAAACAGGAUUAGAUACCCCUGUAGUC